AUUGAACGCUGGCGGCAGGCCUAACACAUGCAAGUCGAGCGGGGUUUUCGGACCUAGCGGCGGACGGGUGAGUAAUGCGUAGGAAGCUACCCGAUAGAGGGGGAUACCAGUUGGAAACGACUGUUAAUACCGCAUAAUGUCUACGGACCAAAGUGUGGGACCUUCGGGCCACAUGCUAUCGGAUGCGCCUACGUGGGAUUAGCUAGUUGGUGGGGUAAUGGCUCACCAAGGCGACGAUCCCUAGCUGGUUUGAGAGGAUGAUCAGCCACACUGGAACUGAGACACGGUCCAGACUCCUACGUGAGGAAGCAGUGGGGAAUAUUGGACAAUGGGCGCAAGCCUGAUCCAGCCAUGCCGCGUGUGUGAAGAAGGCCUUCGGGUUGUAAAGCACUUUCAGUAGGGAGGAAGGGUGUUGUGUUAAUAGCACCGCAUUUUGACGUUACCUACAGAAGAAGCACCGGCUAACUCUGUGCCAGCAGCCGCUGUAACAC
rnacentral:rRNA from 1 species